rnacentral:rRNA from 1 species
CCUACGGGAGGCAGCAGUAGGGAAUCUUCCGCAAUGGACGAAAGUCUGACGGAGCAACGCCGCGUGAACGAUGAAGGCCUUCGGGUCGUAAAGUUCUGUUGUUAGGGAAGAACAAGUGCUAGUUGAAUAAGCUGGCACCUUGACGGUACCUAACCAGAAAGCCACGGCUAACUACGUGCCAGCAGCCGCGGUAAUACGUAGGUGGCAAGCGUUGUCCGGAAUUAUUGGGCGUAAAGCGCGCGCAGGCGGUUUCUUAAGUCUGAUGUGAAAGCCCCCGGCUCAACCGGGGAGGGUCAUUGGAAACUGGGAAACUUGAGUGCAGAAGAGGAAAGUGGAAUUCCAAGUGUAGCGGUGAAAUGCGUAGAGAUUUGGAGGAACACCAGUGGCGAAGGCGACUUUCUGGUCUGUAACUGACGCUGAGGCGCGAAAGCGUGGGGAGCAAACAGGAUUAGAUACCCUGGUAGUCCACGCUGUAAACGAUGAGUGCUAAGUGUUAGAGGGUUUCCGCCCUUUAGUGCUGAAGUUAACGCAUUAAGCACUCCGCCUGGGGAUACGGUCGCAAGACUGAAACUCAAAGGAAUUGACG